UGGGGAAUAUUGGACAAUGGGCGAAAGCCUGAUCCAGCAAUGCCGCGUGAGUGAUGAAGGCCCUAGGGUUGUAAAGCUCUUUUACCCGGGAUGAUAAUGACAGUAUCGGGAGAAUAAGCUCCGGCUAACUCCGUGCCAGCAGCCGCGGUAAUACGGAGGGAGCUAGCGUUGUUCGGAAUUACUGGGCGUAAAGCGCGCGUAGGCGGUUUUCCAAGUCAGGGGUGAAAGCCCGGGGCUCAACCCCGGAAUAGCCCUUGAAACUGGAAGACUAGAAUCUUGGAGAGGUCGGUGGAAUUCCGAGUGUAGCAGUGAAAUGCGUAGAUAUGCGGAGGAACACCGAUGGCGAAGGCAAUCCCCUGGGCCUGCACUGACGCUCAUGCACGAAAGCGUGGGGAGCAAACA
rnacentral:rRNA from 1 species